rnacentral:snRNA from 1 species
GAACCCACAAAGGGUGUUGG